rnacentral:lncRNA from 1 species
UAAUAGAAAGGAGAUUUUUGACAUGUUAAUUGUAUGAUACAAUAAGCUUAGCUCCCAAUAGAUCAUAGAUUUUAUUAAUUUGCACAGCUAGAAAAGGAAAAGUUAGAAUCUUUCAAGAAAAUUUUAGAAAAAAAUGAAAGUGAAAGAAAAGAGAUAAAAGAGAGAGCAAUAGAGAAAUGUAGGAAUAAGAUAGGAUAGAGUAGAGG